GGGGGCGAGCGUUGCCCGGAUUUAUUGGGCGUAAAGCGUGCGUAGGCGGCUGCGCAAGUCGGUUGUGAAACCCCGGGGCUCAACCCCGGAACUGCAUCCGAUACUGCGUGGCUAGAGGUAGGUAGGGGAGAUCGGAAUUCCUGGUGUAGCGGUGAAAUGCGCAGAUAUCAGGAGGAACACCGGUGGCGAAGGCGGGUCUCUGGGCCGAAACUGACGCUGAGGAGCGAAAGCGUGGGGAGCAAACAGG
rnacentral:rRNA from 1 species